CGUACACACCGCCCGUCACGCCAUGGAAGCUGGGGGGACCUGAAGCCGGUGGGCUAACCGCAAGGAGGCGAGCCGUCAAAGGUCAAUUCAGUGACUGGGGCG
rnacentral:rRNA from 1 species